GGUUGCGAUCAUACCAGCACUAACGCACCGGGAUCCCAUCAGAACUCCGCAGUUAAGCGUGCUUGGGCGAGAGUAGUACUAGGAUGGGUGACCCCUUGGGAAGUCCUCGUGUUGCAACCCC
rnacentral:rRNA from 1 species